UUACUAUCAGAAAGCAGAAGGAAGGAGAGAGGAUAUGCCUCCUGACUAUAAGGAUACUUCGUAUAGAAUUCAAGUAAUGCUUUUGUUUAUGAAGUUCUUUCUGACACCAAAUAUGAGGUAUCUUUCCACGUCAAUUAUCUGACUGAAAUUCUGGAAACAGGCCAAAUUUGGAUAUUGAUUCCCGUUCCUCUUCUCUCUGUCAUCACUGGAACAUCAACAACGAAUUGUUCAUCAAGCCUGUGAGAUUUUAUUUUUUUGUCAUAUUCAUUUUACUAAAAUGGAUUGGGGA
rnacentral:lncRNA from 13 species